UACGUAGGCAGCAAGCGUUGUUCGGAGUUACUGGGCGUAAAGGGUGUGUAGGCGGUUCUUUAAGUUUGGUGUGAAAUCUCCCGGCUCAACUGGGAGGGUGCGCCGAAUACUGAGGGACUAGAGUACGGGAGAGGAAAGUGGAAUUCCUGGUGUAGCGGUGAAAAUGCGUAGAUAUCAGGAGGAACACCGGUGGUGUAGACGGCUUUCUGGACCGACACUGACGCUGAGACACGAAAGCGUGGGUAGCAAACAGG
rnacentral:rRNA from 1 species